GAUGGGUCGACCGCAGGUCGGUUAUCUCCUGUCAAGAGGGUGGUCGCGGGUUCGAUUCCCGUCGUCGUUCCU
rnacentral:tRNA from 1 species